rnacentral:rRNA from 1 species
AGUGAACGCUGGCGGUAGGCCUAACACAUGCAAGUCGAACGGCAGCACAGUAAGAGCUUGCUCUUACGGGUGGCGAGUGGCGGACGGGUGAGGAAUACAUCGGAAUCUACUUUUUCGUGGGGGAUAACGUAGGUAAACUUACGCUAAUACCGCAUACGACCUACGGGUGAAAGCAGGGGAUCUUCGGACCUUGCGCGAUUGAAUGAGCCGAUGUCGGAUUAGCUAGUUGGCGGGGUAAAGGCCCACCAAGGCGACGAUCCGUAGCUGGUCUGAGAGGAUGAUAAGACAAACUGGAACUGAGACACGGUCAAGAGUACUACGGGAGGCAGCAGUGGGGAAUAGUGGACAAUGGGCGAAAGCAUGAUCCAGCCAUACCGCGUGGGUGAAGAAGGCCUUCGGGUUGUAAAGCCCUUUUGUUGGGAAAGAAAAGCAGCAGGUUAAUACCCCGCUGUUCUGACGGUAACCAAAGAAUAAGCACCGGCUAACUUCGUG